rnacentral:rRNA from 1 species
CAAGCCAAAUUAAGGUGAAACCGCGAAAGGCUCAUUAAAUCAGUUAUGGUUCCUUAGAUCGUACCCACAAUUACUUGGAUAACUGUGGUAAUUCUAGAGCUAAUACAUGCAAACAGAGCUCCGACCGGAGACGGGAGGAGUGCUUUUAUUAGAUCAAAACCAAUCGGUGGCGGGUUCGCUCGUCAUCGUACAACUUGGUGACUCUGAAUAACUUUACGCUGAUCGCACGGUCAUCGCACCGGCGACGCAUCUUUCAAAUGUCUGCCUUAUCAACUGUCGAUGGUAGGUUCUGCGCCUACCAUGGUUGUAACGGGUAACGGGGAAUCAGGGUUCGAUUCCGGAGAGGGAGCCUGAGAAACGGCUACCACAUCCAAGGAAGGCAGCAGGCGCGCAAAUUACCCACUCCCGGCACGGGGAGGUAGUGACGAAAAAUAACGAUACGGGACUCAUCCGAGGCCCCGUAAUCGGAAUGAGUACACUCUAAACCCUUUAACGAGGAUCAAUUGGAGGGCAAGUCUGGUGCCAGCAGCCGCGG